rnacentral:rRNA from 1 species
UACGGGGGGGGCAAGCGUUGUUCGGAUUUACUGGGCGUAAAGGGCGCGUAGGCGGUCACUACAAGUCAGUUGUGGAAAUCUCUGGGCGUUAACUCAGAACGGUCAACUGAUACUGUCGGACUAGAUGCGAGAAGGGCAACUGGAAUUCUCGGUGUAGCGGUGAAAUGCGUAGAUAUCGAGAGGAACACCUGCGGCGAAGGCGGGUUGCUGGGCUGACACGUGACGCUGAGGCGCGAAAGCUAGGGGAGCGAACGGG